AUCAAGUUAUGUCAAAAUUAAGUUUCUUUGCUUUCUGCCAUGUGCUGGUCUAUGGUCAGCUUUAGACAGGCUAAUUUGAGGCGAAUGUCACUAUGAUUGAAUGAAAAGUUGUGGUAAUAUUCUCCUAGAAAUCAAGCAACAUUCAGAUCUGCAGUCAUCCAAGAAGGCCUUUGAAUCUGGCAUAUUCAUCAGCAAAGGUCAAAUUUACAACUUAGAGCUGGUCUACCUGAUUCAACCCUGGGUUACACUGCAAGGAGUUUCUUUCUCUGAAGAUGGAGUAAUCAACAAUAUUCUGCAAAAGUCUACAGUAUUUCUGGCAAGGUGUUGCUUAGUGGAUGAAAUGAAUUUCUGCAACUCAGCCCCUAUCCAAUGAAGCCCUCCAGGACACACUGAAGUGCAGGAGGAAUCUGACCCAGCAUCUGUGGUAAGCAGGACUGAUGGACUGAGCACCUGAGCAGGUGCUACUGCUGCCAAGCACACAGCUCAG
rnacentral:lncRNA from 1 species